AGCUUGCUACUUUGCUGACGAGCGGCGGACGGGUGAGUAAUGCUUGGGAACAUGCCUUGAGGUGGGGGACAACAGUUGGAAACGACUGCUAAUACCGCAUAAUGUCUACGGACCAAAGGGGGCUUCGGCUCUCGCCUUUAGAUUGGCCCAAGUGGGAUUAGCUAGUUGGUGAGGUAAUGGCUCACCAAGGCGACGAUCCCUAGCUGGUUUGAGAGGAUGAUCAGCCACACUGGGACUGAGACACGGCCCAGACUCAUACGGGAGGCAGCAGUGGGGAAUAUUGCACAAUGGGCGCAAGCCUGAUGCAGCCAUGCCGCGUGUGUGAAGAAGGCCUUCGGGUUGUAAAGCACUUUCAGUCAGGAGGAAAGGUUAGUAGUUAAUACCUGCUAGCUGUGACGUUACUGACAGAAGAAGCACCGGCUAACUCCGUGCCAGCAGCCGCGGUAAUACGGAGGGUGCGAGCGUUAAUCGGAAUUACUGGGCGUAAAGCGUACGCAGGCGGUUUGUUAAGCGAGAUGUGAAAGCCCCGGGCUCAACCUGGGAACUGCAUUUCGAACUGGCAAACUAGAGUGUGAUAGAGGGUGGUAG
rnacentral:rRNA from 1 species